UAAUACAGAGGGUGCAAGCGUUGUUCGGAAUUAUUGGGCGUAAAGCGCGUGUAGGCGGCUAAGUAAGUCGGGUGUGAAAGCCCUCAGCUCAACUGAGGAAGUGCGCCCGAAACUACUUGGCUUGAGUGCCGGAGAGGAUGGCGGAAUACCCCAAGUAGAGGUGAAAUUCGUAGAUAUGGGGUGGAACACCGGUGGCGAAGGCGGCCAUCUGGACGGUAACUGACGCUGAGACGCGAAAGCGUGGGUAGCAAACAGGAUUAGAUACCCUGGUAGUCCACGCCGUAAACGAUGAGAACUAGGUGUCGUGGGUGUUGACCCCCGCGGUGCCGUAGCCAACGCAUUAAGUUCUCCGCCUGGGAAGUACGGUCGCAAGACUA
rnacentral:rRNA from 1 species